AUGGCAGCGUGUGAUGGUCACUGAGGGGCAGCACUGAUGGUCACCGAGGGUCAGCCUGGCCGUGGGGACAGCAGUGUGUGGUGGUCACCGAGGGGCAGCCUGGCCGUGGGGACAGCAGUGUGUGAUGGUUACCGAGGGGCAGCCUGGCCGUGGGGACAGCAGUGCGUGAUGGUCACCGAGGGGCAGCACUGAUGGUCACCAAGGGUCAGCCUGGCCGUGGGGACAGCAGUGUGUGAUGGUCAUCAAGGGGCACCAGUGAUGGUCACCAAGGGCCAGCCUGGCCGUGAGGACCAGGAGGGGAGAGUUCACUGCCACUGUUCGUGCAGGUGCCCAGCACCUCUGCCCUCAGGGUGGAGAGGAAAAGCGAGAAGUCUAUGGCACAGGUGCCACGGGGCAGAGGGGAUUUGAGAUGGGAACCAGACGUGACCUGGCCACGCCGCCCCUGCCACAGGCUCACGUGCUCACUUUCCAAAAUGACACGUUCCUUAACCUGCUGGGCCUGGCUCUCUUCGCCUCUCCUCCUGCUCUGCUGAGCAAAUUCCAACCUCUCAUAUGGGUGUGACCCCCUGUUGAAACACUGCUGUGUCCAUGGAGCACAUGAUUAUUUUAAUUAAGAACACGUCGUGGAAUGAGGCCGCUGAGGCCCACACACUGUGCCUCCCAGCACUCACCUCCCCUGCCCCCAAGCAGGGCUGCCCGUGUGCAGCCAGCCUGAGCCCCAGCACUCAGCUCCAGAUUGGAGCCUGCAGCAGCUGCCAUCCAUCAUGCUUGGACUGCGGCCCGUGGGCUGGUGAUGGCCGUCCACUCUCGGGGCCCAGCCCGGCUGGAGACCCAGGGAGAGCAGUGAUUGAUUAACAAGCACACGCCGAAUUACUCUCUGUAAUGGUGAUGAAUAUGGCUUGGACCUCGCUG
rnacentral:lncRNA from 1 species